rnacentral:rRNA from 1 species
GUGGCAGCCGCCGCGGUAAUACGGAGGGUGCGAGCGUUAAUCGGAAUUACUGGGCGUAAAGGGCGCGUAGGCGGUCGCGCAAGUCGGGUGUGAAAGCCCCGGGCUCAACCUGGGAAUUGCAUUCGAUACUGCGUAACUAGAGUCUGGUAGAGGGAAGCGGAAUUCCGCAUGUAGCGGUGAAAUGCGUAGAUAUGCGGAGGAACACCAGUGGCGAAGGCGGCUUCCUGGACCAAGACUGACGCUGAGGCGCGAAAGCGUGGGGAGCAAACAGGAUUAGAUACCCUGGUAGUCCACGCCCUAAACGAUGAGGACUAGACGUUGGGGGGAUAAAACCCUUUAGUGUCGCAGCUAACGCGUGAAGUCCUCCGCCUGGGGAGUACGGCCGCAAGGUUGAAACUCAAAUGAAUUGCGG